rnacentral:tRNA from 1 species
GAGGGUAUAGCUCAGUGGUACAGCACAUGCCUAGCGCGCAUGACGUCCUGGGUUCAAUCCCCAGUACCUCUG